CCUCAUGAGUCUGGGGCUGGGGGGCAGCGAGCUGGCCACAGAGGCCUUCCUGGGCUGCCGGCCUCUACAGCAAGGCAGCUUUCUGCAGAAAUCAGAGGAUACUAACUCGUUCAUUCUGUUUUGGUCUCCGGACUCAAGGGUAUUUGAACUGAAGACCAAUCGGCCACGGUUCUGUGUGGUACAAGCUGUGGUAGUUCGCGUUUGCUGAAAGCAGGUGGGCAGGUGCGCUUGGAGAGUCGCCAGCCCUCAGAGCUAAUCAGCAGCCAAGACGGGCCCCUGGAUUAAAAGCUCUCAACUAUCCUAAUUGAAGAAGACAAGUAUGAACACUAAAAGUCCUCUGCAAUGUAUGACAUCGAGCGGAGCUAUCAUUGAAGAACUUCCGUCGUAUUUGGGAGAUGUAAUGACUAUCCCAACCCUGAGAGAGAACCAGAAAAGGCUGCUUGUGAGGACCACGGAGCCGGACCCCGGUUGGGAAGUGCCAUGGGGUCUGGAGAACUUUCAGCCUGAUGGAGCUGGGCUUCGGUGGAGCCCCUCCCUCCCCGGGCGUCCCUCCUCCUGGGCCCCUGCCCUCCGCACCUCCCAGAAGUCAUUUAUCGGUUGGACUCUAAGAGUUUUUGAGAACGUGCGUUUGCUACCCUACCGAAGCCUUCCUUGGCCCCACCUGGUACCGCCUAAGCGGCCCUGAAAGCUGCUCUUUCUAAGGGUAUCAACCAUCCGUGGCCAUUUCCAAAGCCAAGCCACCUGCCAGGGCUGACACAGGAAACAAAACGCAGAACGAGACGACUUCUGGAAGAAGACAGACCCAACAGAGGCAGCUCGAGGCCAUGCCCGGCUGCCGCCCGACGUACACCAACGGCCUUCCAGAGUCCCAGAGAGGCCAACGUCCAAACCUCACAGCACGCCCUGAGCCUCACGAC
rnacentral:lncRNA from 1 species